AGGAAAUACUACAAACAUGCCCAUAAAGCCAGACAACACCCAGACAAAUAUAUGUCAAUGAUUAUAGAUGGCAUGGACCAAUCAAAGACUGAGAUACCUCAUUUUUUAUACCUGUCUUCCCUUACCGCAGGAAUGUGGAAAUUGAGAACUCAUUUGGUCGGAGCACUGGUGCAUGGCGUAGGAUUAUAUGGAUUUUUUGAUUGGUACCAGUAUGCACACUCCUCCAAUUUGACAAUCCAUGUAAUUCUAAGUAUUCUCCUAAUGACUAAAGACAGUCUUCCUGAUGUUCUUUACCUUCAAAUGGACAACUGUGCCAGGGAAAAUAAAAACAGAUUUGUAUUUGGAUUUCUCAGCCUCUUGGUUGAACUGAAAGUGUUCAAGAAAAUCAAGGUUUCAUUUUUGAUGGUUGGCCACACUCACGAAGACAUCGAUCAGGUUUUUUCAAGAUUUUCAGUAUGGUUGAACAAACAUGCAGCUUUUACACUACCAAGACUAAUGCAUGCGUUUGAAAACUGCUUCCAACCAAAACCCCACGCCAU